UAACCUACUUGGUGACAAGUAGCUGAACCAUCAGAAGUCAGCAGAGGUCAUAGUACGAAACUUUGCGUUAUUCAUCUUAAUUGAACCGCCGUAUACGGAACCGUACGUACGGUGGUGUGAGAGGUC
rfam:Lysinibacillus sphaericus OT4b.31 genomic scaffold Ls31_scaffold1, whole genome shotgun sequence.